rnacentral:tRNA from 1 species
GGGGCCUUAGCUCAGCUGGGAGAGCGACUGAAUCGCAUUCAGUAGGUCAUAGGGUCGAACCCGAUAGGCUCCACCA